rnacentral:rRNA from 1 species
AGUGAACGCUGGCGGUAGGCCUAACACAUGCAAGUCGAACGGCAGCACAGUAAGAGCUUGCUCUUACGGGUGGCGAGUGGCGGACGGGUGAGGAAUACAUCGGAAUCUACUUUUUCGUGGGGGAUAACGUAGGGAAACUUACGCUAAUACCGCAUACGACCUACGGGUGAAAGCAGGGGAUCUUCGGACCUUGCGCGAUUGAAUGAGCCGAUGUCGGAUUAGCUAGUUGGCGGGGUAAGGGCCCACCAAGGCGACGAUCCGUAGCUGGUCUGAGAGGAUGAUCAGCCACACUGGAACUGAGAAACGGUCCAGACGCCUACGGGAGGCAGCAGUGGGGAAUAUUGGACAAUGGGCGCAAGCCUGAUCCAGCCAUACCGCGCGGGUGAAGAAGGCCUUCGGGUUGUAAAGACCUUUUGUUGGGAAAGAAAAGCAGCAGGUUAAUACCCCGCUGUUCUGACGGUACCCAAAGAAUAAGCACCGGCUAACUUCGCG